rnacentral:rRNA from 1 species
GAUGAACGCUGGCGGCGUGCCUAAUACAUGCAAGUCGAGCGAACAGACGAGAAUGUUUGCACUCUCUGGCUUUCGCCGCGGACGUGUGUGUAACACGGGUAUAAUCUCUCUAUGAGUCUGGUAACAUCUGGAGAAAGCGGAUCAAAUCCCGUAAAAUAUUUAACUGCAUAGUUAGAUAGAGACAAAGGCGUUUCUUGUGACUUAUAGAUGUAUACGCGCGGCAUUAGCUAGUUGGUAAGGUAACGGCUUACCAAGGCGACGAUACAUAGCCGACCUGAGAGGGUGAUCGGCCACACUGGAACUGAGACACGGUCCAGACUCCUACGGGAGGCAGCAGUAGGGAAUCUUCCGCAAUGGGCGAAAGCCUGACGGAGCAAUGCCGCGUGAGUGAAGAAGGUUUUCGGAUCGUAAAACUCUGUUGUUAGGGAAGAACAAGUAUGUUAGUAACUGAACACGCCUUGACGGUACCUAAUCAGAAAGCCACGGCUAACUACGUG